rnacentral:rRNA from 1 species
UACGUAGGGUGCAAGCGUUAAUCGGAAUUACUGGGCGUAAAGCGUGCGCAGGCGGUUUUGUAAGUCUGUCGUGAAAGCCCCCGGGCUUAACCUGGGAAUUGCGAUGGAGACUGCAAGGCUAGAAUCUGGCAGAGGGGGGUAGAAUUCCACGUGUAGCAGUGAAAUGCGUAGAGAUGUGGAGGAACACCGAUGGCGAAGGCAGCCCCCUGGGUCAAGAUUGACGCUCAUGCACGAAAGCGUGGGGAGCAAACAGG